CUCCGUUGCACACGUCCAGGAGAUAAUUCUUACGUAGUACGUGGCACCUAUACUAUGAACUACGUGGGUAAGUCGCACUUUAUGAGUGGAGGGGCCUGAUCAAUAAAUUCAAAGCGCAGGAACGUAAAACGACAUACACUUCUCUGACUAUUCAGUGAGUAACUUCUACUUGUCUAAGUGAAUUUAUAUUUUUAAUUAAAAAUAAUCAACAUGCCUGGUCCAUGUGGAGACAAAUGCAAAGACAAGUGCCAGGGAUCAUGCAAUUGCGGUAGUGACUGCAAAUGCUGCGAGAGCGGAGAUAAAUGCGCCUGCAAAUCCGGCGGCUCUUGCAAGUGCAGCCCCUGCAACUGCAAGUGAAAGGCCAAUCCACAAGAUGAUUCUAUUCCUGUUGCUGAAAAAUUUCAAGAUUUCCAUUAGGGACCUAUCAGUUUAAUUCAUCUUAACUGAAUUUAUUUGAUUAUAUCUUAAUAAUUGCACUUUAUUUAUUUGGAUUACUUUUUCACUGUGUAUUAUGUUGUAAAACUGCUAAAAGUUUAUUUAAAUAAAUUAUUUGAAAUUUAA